GGGGAUGUAGCUCAGUGGUGGUGCACUUGCCUAGUAUGCAUGAGACCCUGGGUUUAAUCCACAGUACUCCCC
rnacentral:tRNA from 1 species